CCUACGGGGCGCAGCAGUGGGGGAUAUUGCACAAUGGGGGAAACCCUGACGCAGCAACGCCGCGUGAGUGAAGAAGGCCUUCGGGUUGUGAAGCUCUUUAAUCAGGGACGAAGAAUGACCGUACCUGAAGAAUAAGCUCCGGCUAACUACGUGCCAGCAGCCGCGGUAAUACGUAGGGAGCAAGCGUUAUCCGGAUUUACUGGGUGUAAAGGGCGUGUAGGCGGGCCUGCAAGUCAGAAGUGAAAUCUGGGGGCUUAACCCCCAAACUGCUUUUGAAACUGUGGGUCUUGAGUGAUGGAGAGCCA
rnacentral:rRNA from 1 species